CGUAGGGUGCGAGCGUUAAUCGGAAUUACUGGGCGUAAAGUGUGCGCAGGUGGCCGCGCAAGUCGAGUGUGAAAUCCCCGGGCUUAACUUGGGAAUUGCGCUCGAAACUACGUGGCUGGAGUGUGGCAGAGGGAGGUGGAAUUCCACGUGUAGCGGUGAAAUGCGUAGAGAUGUGGAGGAACACCAAUGGCGAAGGCAGCCUCCUGGGCCAACACUGACACUCAUGCACGAAAGCGUGGGGAGCAAACAGGAUUAGAUACCCUGGUAGUCCACGCCCUAAACGAUGAUGACUAGUUGUUGGGGGAGUUAAAUCCCUUAGUAACGCAGCUAACGCGCGAAGUCAUCCGCCUGGGGAGUACGGUCGCAAGAUUA
rnacentral:rRNA from 1 species